UCUGACCCUCGAGGUGUGGCUGCUGUAUCACAUAUGAACCAGUGGGUGGCAGAGAGGAGAGAGCCUUUGUCUACACUUGGUGUUGUGUGUCUGACCUAUGAACAUCUGAAUAAUUAGCAGCCUAACAUU